rnacentral:lncRNA from 1 species
AAAAGGAGAGAAAAACCAUUCAAUACCAGAGGAGUGAGCUUGAGAAAAGGUAAUAAGGAGUAGGACAAACGUAAGUCAAUUCCAGGAUUAGUGUCAGCCUGAGGCUCUGGGGAGCGGCCUCCGGAGAUAUUGACCGAGCAGGGAGAGCAGGGAUUACACAAAUAACCAAUUAAAGAACAUGGUGGGGCCGGAUAAAGAGCUCCUGUAGCUCCGGCCUCUGUCGCCAUCAGCAUCAGCCUGGGAGUCUCCCCAGGACGGCAUGGCACGUGAGCAGCACUGCAGUCCUUGGGUCUUCGGCGCCAACCUGCAACCCUGAUCA